UCUUCUGUCUUUUGGUGUAGCGCUGUCUCGGAGUCGACUCGGGCUUUGCGGGAGUCGACUCGGCACUCAGUGUCUGAAAUUGGCUCUCUGACUUUUUGCCUUGUAUUUCUCUGGGAGUCGACUCUUGCUUCCUUAGGAGUCGACCUGCCAACCAUUGGAGUCGACUCGAGUUCCUCAGGAGUCGACUCGGCUCUUAGGGUCCAAAAUAGCUUCUCUGUGUUUCUGCCUUGUUACUCCCUGGAGUCGACUCGUACUAUCCAGGAGUCGACUCGAGGACUAUUCUUUUGGAUUUUCCUUUGAAUUUGCUCUUCCAACUUGAGUCCUUUGAACUUGAAACUUGGGCCAAUGAAGUGUAACUUUCUUCCAACUUUUCUUGAGAGC
rnacentral:lncRNA from 1 species